rnacentral:lncRNA from 1 species
AUGAAGUGGGAUAGUGGCAACAACCAGGAGAGGAGGAAGAAGGAUUCCUACUUCACAUGUGGGAUGGGUGCCACCAGGACACAUCCCUGCAGUUCCAGUCCCAGCACCCUCUCCGGAUUUACAAGUCCCUGGAGCGGAGCAGGGACAGCGGCCGAGAGCCCGGUGCUUUGCCAUCGCUGCUGUGGGCUGGAAUGAGAGGGGGCAGCUGCUGGAGGAUGCUGGAGUCAUUGUGCUGCCGGACAGGCUCUCAUCACGCACAGGAUAAAACCCCAGCUCCUGUGGCCGGGGCCCUGUGGGGUUUCACAGGGCAGCUCCUGCCAGCAAGGCCAGCCGAUGACUACAAGCCAAGUGGCUUCCCUGUCCUGGCAUUCCAGGGACACCUCUGGACCAUGGAUGUUUGCAAAAUGGCUUUUGUUUGCUUAACUCCUUGCACUGGAACAGGCAGAGGCACAGCUCCCACCGUCUUGUCCCUCCUCCACAGGCAGGGACAGGGUGACAAUCCUGCUGCCCAGGGCAGGCAGCUCAGUGCCAGCCCUGCCAUCCCACCCCUGGAAAAAAUAGCACCUUUUGAGUGCGUUAUUUGUACUUUCCUUUUCUGAAUGUGCCUUAAAAGAAGGGCUUAGUUUUCAAAGAAGCAGCAUUUAAAUUACAUUCUUCCCUGCUCGUCCAGCUCUUUGCUGUAAUCUUAUUGCUGUACGGAGCAACGAGCGUGCGUGGGACGUGGUGGGAUUUUAACUGUAAUUCAUGGACAGAUAUAAAAUGCCAGGGUUAUUAUGAAUUUUAUUCAGGAGAGUUUAAAUGUUACUGGUUCAGCAGUGCCUCUUUCCAUGCUUCCUUUGCAGCAGCUUCUGUUUAACCUCUCAGCUCACAAAAUUUAUUGUAUUGUUGGUGGCUCGCUGUAAUUCUCCAGGUUUUCAAAUAAUCCCAGGAAAAGGGUUAACUGAAGCCUCUGCCUUAGUCUACAUCCACUGCAAAGCAUGUGGGACCAAAGUUUUGUCUUUCCUGAACACCCCUGGUAAGUCCCUUGGGUUCAUCUGGAAACUGCCACUCUGAAUUUCAAAAUUAUGUCAGUGGGAAGUGGGUCAGUUGGCAGUGCAGGGACCAGGGAGCACCAAAACCUGGGUCCCAAUGUUGCAGUUAGCAUUUGGACAAGGCUCUUCACCCAGCUCACAUGGUUGUUCCAGGCUGAGCUGGACAUCACUGGACCCACAACAGGGCACAAGGUUUUAUUGGUACGAGUAACUAUUCCCCAGGCAGAUACAUCGUGGUGAAUGGCCUUGGGAUGGAAGGUCUGUGACGCAGCUUGUAGCUAGGUUUUGAUGGCCCAUGAUGAUCAUUGAUGACCAUUGCAGUGGGAUGCAGAGCACUUGCCAGACAUGGAUUCAGCCUGAUUCUCCUGGGAUUCAUCCAUUUUUUGUCACCUAACACAGACACAAUGGAGGUUUUUGCACACACACCCCCAUGAAGGCAACCCCUUUCCCAUCUUCACUUAUUUCUGAAAAGCCUUCAGAAAGCUUUUCUCACUGCCAUACCCUAAACCCUCCCUGCUGCUUCCAGAGCUCAUUCACCUUUCUCUGCUCCCUGUGGAGAUACUUUUCCCUUCCUUUGCAUCCCCUGCUGACAGCAGCGGCCCCCUCAGACCUUCCCCAGCAGAGCAAGGUGGAUGUUGAUGAAACCAAAGGGUUUUCUUUCAUCUAUUCCCACCUCUCCUCUUGGCUCUGCCUUGCUGCAAUCUCUCUGGACGUCGCAUCGCACACGUAGCACACCCAGCACCCGCCAGCCCUGCUCAUCCAUCUCACACACCUUAAUCAAUGGGAAAACUUGAGGAAAAGCCCGUAAACCAGAUGGGGAAGUGAGGAUUGGAUUUGCUAUGUGCUGGUACUAAUGGAAACCAUCCUUCACUGCAUAAUCAGGAGGAAUGGCCACACACAACCCAUCAUUUCUGCCCAGGUUUUCACAGGGCAGCCC